AAUUAGAAAGCGAAAAUCGCAUUUAGUUUCGGCCUAAACUUUGGUUGGUACCUCUAAUUU
rnacentral:tRNA from 1 species